rnacentral:rRNA from 1 species
GAUGAACGCUAGCUACAGGCUUAACACAUGCAAGUCGAGGGGUAACGAGAGGAAAGCUUGCUUUCCUUGUCGACGACCGGCGCACGGGUGAGUAACGCGUAUCCAACCUGCCCCCAACUAAGGAAUAACCUUGCGAAAGUAAGACUAAUACCUUAUAAUUUCCUCAGAUGUCAUCUGACGAGGAAUAAAGAUUUAUCGGUUGUGGAUGGGGAUGCGUCUGAUUAGCUUGUUGGCGGGGUAACGGCCCACCAAGGCAACGAGCAGUAGGGGUUCUGAGAGGAAGGCCCCCCACAUUGGAACUGAGACACGGUCCAAACUCCUACGGGAGGCAGCAGUGAGGAAUAUUGGUCAAUGGGCGGAAGCCUGAACCAGCCAAGUAGCGUGCAGGAUGACGGCCCUAUGGGUUGUAAACUGCUUUUAUACAGGAAUAAAGUUAGCCACGUGUGGUUAUUUGUAGGUACUGUAUGAAUAAGGACCGGCUAAUUCCGUGCCAGCCGCCGCGGUAA